rnacentral:rRNA from 1 species
CCUACGGGAGGCAGCAGUGGGGAAUUUUGGACAAUGGGGGCAACCCUGAUCCAGCAAUGCCGCGUGAGUGAAGAAGGCCUUCGGGUUGUAAAGCUCUUUUGUCAGGGAAGAAACAGCAGCUCUAACACAGUCUGCGAAUGACGGUACCUGAAGAAUAAGCACCGGCUAACUACGUGCCAGCAGCCGCGGUAAUACGUAGGGUGCGAGCGUUAAUCGGAAUUACUGGGCGUAAAGCGUGCGCAGGCGGUUAUACAAGACAGGCGUGAAAUCCCCGGGCUUAACCUGGGAAUGGCGUCUGUGACUGUAUAGCUAGAGUGUGUCAGAGGGGGGUGGAAUUCCACGUGUAGCAGUGAAAUGCGUAGAUAUGUGGAGGAACACCAAUGGCGAAGGCAGCCCCCUGGGAUAACACUGACGCUCAUGCACGAAAGCGUGGGGAGCAAACAGGAUUAGAUACCCUGGUAGUCCACGCCCUAAACGAUGCUGACUAGUUGUUGGGAAUUUACAUUCUCAGUAACGUAGCUGACGCGUGAAGUCAGCCGCCUGGGGAGUACGGUCGCAAGAUUAAAACUCAAAGGAAUUGACGG